rnacentral:rRNA from 1 species
UACAGAGGGUGCAAGCGUUAAUCGGAAUUACUGGGCGUAAAGCGUGCGUAGACGGUUAUGUAAGUCAGAUGUGAAAGCCCCGGGCUUAACCUGGGAAUGGCAUUUGAGACUGCAUAGCUAGGGUGCGGAAGAGGGAAGCGGAAUUUCCGGUGUAGCGGUGAAAUGCGUAGAUAUCGGGAAGGAACACCAGUGGCGAAAGCGGCUUCCUGGUCCAGCACCGACGUCAGGCACGAAAGCGUGGGGAGCAAACAGG